AAGAAACGAUUUUAACUACACCCAUCAGAAAACACGAACCAGUGAAGCAGCAUUUUAUCUAGCAUCAGUGACUGCAUGCUGUGAGAAUUUUGUUGCUGUGGAAACCGUGUUUGUGAUACUGAAACUGAAUAAUGACUUGCUCUAUCAGGUUUUGAUGAUCACAGAGAAAUUACGGUUUUUACUGAGCAAACCCUUGUAUAUCAAUAAAGAUCCAAUUCUUUGGGACAUCCUGUCACCUCUACCUUCAAAAUACGUCCCCAGUCCAAGCACAUCUCGCCCGCUACGGCUACAAGGCUGGUCCAGGGAACUGUUGUCUCUCACCUGAGCUGCCCCAGCUACCUCCUGACUGAAAAGGCCACACUCCCUGGACCAAGUGACACAGUUCUUGCCAAUGAGAUAAGUAAAAAUCCGCUGGGAACUUUUGGGAAAUUUGGCUUGCAUCAUUAAAAAGGACUUAUAUCUUCCCUUUUUUGGAUACUGACCUGAUAAUUGGAGCUUCAGCAGCCAUGUUGUAAUCAUGAGAGAAAGGCCGGGCUAGGGAAUCUCAGACGUGCAGGCCCUGCCAUUGCUGAGCUACUGAAACAGCCCCAGCAGCCGCCCCAGCAACUUCCUGUUACGUGAGAACAAGUGAGCUCACCUUGUUCCACCCACUGCAUUCAGGGUCUCUCUUCCUUACAGCUGGGCAAAUAGAAUAGCAGUUUAAAGAAGUACCUACCUAACCCUA
rnacentral:lncRNA from 1 species